rnacentral:rRNA from 1 species
GCAAAUUUACACCGUAACUUCGGGAGAAGGUGUGCCGCUGGCGGUUAGUGACUCCGCGUCACGAAGCUGUUGGUGGUCGCAGUGAAAUGGCGGUUGUGACUGUUUACUAAAAACACAGGACUCUGCGAAGUCGUAAGACGACGUAUAGGGUCUGAUGCCUGCCCGGUGCUGGAAGGUUAAGGGGAUAUGUCAGCGCAAGCGAAGCAUUGAACCGAAGCCCCAGUAAACGGCGGCCGUAACUAUAACGGUCCUAAGGUAGCGAAAUUCCUUGUCGGGUAAGUUCCGACCUGCACGAAGGGCAUAACAACAUCCGCACUGUCUCGACCAGGGACUCAGCGAAAUUACAUUGGGGGUGAAGAUGCCCUCUACCCGCGGAAAGACGGAAAGACCCCAUGAACCUUUACUGCAACUUGGCAGUGAUUUUCGGGUUGUUCUGCGUAGGAUAGGUGGGAGGCUUUGAAGCCGGGCUUCCGGGUUCGGCAGAGCCAACGUUGAAAUACCACCCUGAAUAAUCUGGAAAUCUAACCUGCGCCCAUGAUCUGGGCGAGGGACACUGCCUGGUGGGCAGUUUGACUGGGGCGGUCGCCUCCUAAAUUGUAACGGAGGCGUGCGACGGUUCCCUCAGGCUGAUUGGAAACCAGCCGUAGAGUGCAAACGCAUAAGGGAGCUUUACUGCGAGACUGACAAGUCGACCAGUUGCGAAAGCAGGUGUUAGUGAUCCGGUGGUACCACAUGGAAGGGCCAUCGCUCAUCGGAUAAAAGGUACUCUGGGGAUAACAGGCUGAUCGCGCCUGAGAGUUCACAUCGGCGGCGCGGUUUGGCACCUCGAUGUCGGCUCAUCGCAUCCUGGGGCUGGAGCAGGUCCCAAGGGUUUGGCUGUUCGCCAAUUAAAGCGGUACGCGAGCUGGGUUUAAAACGUCGUGAGACAGUUUGGUCCCUAUCUUCCGUGGGCGCAGGACACUUGAGAGGAGCUAUCCAUAGUACGAGAGGACCUGGAUGGACGAACCUCUGGUGCUCCGGUUGUCACGCCAGUGGCAUAGCCGGGUAGCCAUGUUCGGAACAGAUAACCGCUGAAGGCAUAUAAGCGGGAAGCUGGCCUCAAGACUAGGUGUCCCUGACGCAAGUCACUAAAGGCCCCUCGAAGACUACGAGGUUGAUAGGCUAGGUGUGGAAGCGCUGCGAGGCGCGGAGCUAACUAGUACUAAUAGGCCGUGCGACUUGACCCC